UUCAGCUUACACCUGAAAAAUGUCUGCUAACACCAGAUCGUCUUGAUGCCAAACUCUAGCCCAACCGACACGACCCGGAAUAACAAAGCCACUUCCCCAAACCCAACUAAAGCAUUCAUAAGUCCCAGUAUAGGCGAUAGAAAAGACACCAUUGGCGCGAUAGAGACUACGUACCGUAAGGGAAAGAUGAAAUAACAAUGAAAACUAAGCUACAAACAGCAAAGAUCAACCCUUGUACCUUUUGCAUCAUGGUCUAGCAAGAAAAACCAAGCAAAAUGAAUUUAAGUUUGCCACCCCGAAACCCAAGCGAGCUACUUACGAGCAGCUAUUAUUGAGCGAACCCGUCUCUGUGGCAAAAGAGUGGGAUGACUUGUUAGUAGAGGUGAAAAGCCAACCGAGCUGGGUGAUAGCUGGUUGCCUGUGAAACGAAUCUAAGUUCACUCUUAAUUCUUCUCCAAGGAAACCCACAAACCCCAAUGAAGCGAAUUAAGGGCUAUUUAAAGGAGGUACAGCUCCUUUAAAAAAGAAUACAAUCUCUACGAGCGGAUAAGUACAACCUCAAACUGAACUGUGGGCCCUCAAGCAGCCAUCAACAAAGAGUGCGUUAAAGCUCUACACUAAAAAUAUAAGAACCUCACGACUCCCUCUCCAUUAACAGGCUAACCUAUAACCAAAUAGGAGAAUUAAUGCUAGAAUGAGUAACCAGGGUUCCCCCUCUACGACGCGAGCUUACAUCUGUACAUUAUUAACAAACCACCAAUAUACGACAAAUCAAACAAGCACAGUAUUAAACAUCUUGUUAACCCGACAGAGGAGCGUCCUCUAAGAAAGAUUAAA
rnacentral:rRNA from 1 species